ensembl:lncRNA
AGCAGAGCGGCGCUGCAGGAGGACGAAAAACACCAAACCAGCUGCUUCUCGUUGAACGAGCACAUCCCUCCCAUCAGCGCUCAGAAUGAACCCUUUGGCCUCACAGCUUCGGAUCUCCUCGUGUUUCAGUGUGAAGAAGCAGAACUUGCUUCCUCUCUGAAGUCCGUCAUGAGCAGAGGACCUCGGGACGUCUGUGGAAACAUGUGGAGGUCACACGUCUGGCCAAGUGAAAAGGCCGUCUUCAUUAACAUGCAGGGCCCGCCGCUUCCUCUGAAACGGGCCUUUGUGUCCCGGCGGGCGCAGCGGCUCCGGGGCGGAGGUCCGGGCGGAGGUCCAGGCGGAGGUCCAGGCGGAGCCCUCGGCGUCCCACCAACGUCUCCGCUGGGGAAGAAGCUGUGGUGUAUCGUGUGGUUCCUGCAGAGGAACUCAUCUGAAGGAGGAGAAGAGUCAGGGUCCAGGUCUCAUUAAAUACAGAUCAUUGUAGCUCCUCUCAUCACCUUUCCAUUAAAAAUAUUAUUGCAAAAGCUCUCAAAUGCACAAGUAUUUCUCUCUGGGUUGCGGUACAGUACUACUGUAUACUAC